rnacentral:rRNA from 1 species
UCUGGUUGAUCCUGGCGGAGGCCACUGCUAUCGGAGUUCGAUUAAGCCAUGCGAGUCGAGAGGUGAAAGACCUCGGCAUACUGCUCAGUAACACGUGGACAAUCUAACCUACGGAGGGGGAUAACCCCGGGAAACUGGGGAUAAUACCCCAUAGACUAUGGAUGCUGGAAUGCUUUGUAGUCGAAAGGUCCGCCGCCGUAGGAUGGGUCUGCGGCCGAUUAGGUUGUUGUUGGGGUAACGGCCCAACAAGCCUGUAAUCGGUACGGGUUGUGGGAGCAAGAGCCCGGAGAUGGAUUCUGAGACACGAAUCCAGGCCCUACGGGGCGCAGCAGGCGCGAAAACUUUACAAUGCGGGGAACCGUGAUAGGGGAACUCCGAGUGCCCGUUAAAUCGGGCUGUCCAUCUGUUUAAAUAACAGGUGAAGAAAGGGCCGGGCAAGACCGGUGCCAGCCGCCGCGGUAAUACCGGCGGCUCGAGUGGUGGCCACUAUUACUGGGCUUAAAGCGUUCGUAGCUGGUUUGUUAAGUCUCUGGGGAAAUCUUCCGGCUUAACCGGAAGGCGUCUCAGGGAUACUGGCAGACUAGGGACCGGGAGAGGUGAGGGGUACUCCAGGGGUAGGAGUGAAAUCCUGUAAUCCUUGGGGGACCACCUGUGGCGAAGGCGCCUCACCAGAACGGCUCCGACAGUGAGGGACGAAAGCUGGGGGAGCAAACCGGAUUAGAUACCCGGGUAGUCCCAGCUGUAAACGAUGCGCGUUAGGUGUAUCGGUGACCACGAGUCACCGAGGUGCCGAAGAGAAAUCGUGAAACGUGCCGCCUGGGAAGUACGGUCGCAAGGCUGAAACUUAAAGGAAUUGGCGGGGGAGCACCACAACGGGUGGAGCCUGCGGUUUAAUCGGACUCAACGCCGGGAAACUCACCAGUUAAGACAGCUGAAUGAUGGUCGGGCUGAAGACUCUACCUGACUAGCUGAGAGGAGGUGCAUGGCCGUCGUCAGUUCGUACUGUGAAGCAUCCUGUUAAGUCAGGCAACGAGCGAGACCCA